UACGAAGGGGGCUAGCGUUGCUCGGAAUCACUGGGCGUAAAGCGCACGUAGGCGGAUCUUUAAGUCAGGGGUGAAAUCCCAAGGCUCAACCUUGGAACUGCCUUUGAUACUGGGGGAUCUCGAGUCCGGAAGAGGUGAGUGGAACUGCGAGUGUAGAGGUGAAAUUCGUAGAUAUCGGGAGGAACACCAGUGGCGAAGGCGGCGAUCUGGGAAGAUACUGACGCUGAGGUGCGAAAGCGUGGGGAGCAAACAGG
rnacentral:rRNA from 1 species